ACCCGGAACCUUGAAGAUGGAAGAUGGAACCUGGAAGAUGGAACCCAGAAGCUGGAAGAUGGAACCUGAAAGCUGGAAGAUGGAACCUGAAAGCUGGAAGCUGGAAGAUAGAACCUGGAACCCGAAAGCUAGAAGCUGGUUCAACGUCAGAUGAUGGAUGAGGCUGGGAAGAAAAAGAGGAGUUCUCAGUGCACAGUGAAGGUCACAUGGUUCCUGCUCCUCCAUCAACGUUGACGAGCGUUAAGGCCGCGUCGCGUGACCUCGAUGUGAUGGAGGCCGAGUGAAAAACUGACCAACCAAGAGCGAGAAGGAAGACUCACACUUUCACACAGCCGAGAACUGGAAGAAAAGUGCACGU